rnacentral:rRNA from 1 species
CCUACGGUGGGCAGCAGUGAGGAAUAUUGGUCAAUGGUCGCGAGCCUGAACCAGCCAAGUAGCGUGAAGGAUGACUGCCCUACGGGUUGUAAACUUCUUUUAUAAAGGAAUAAAGUCAGGCACGCGUGCCUUUUUGUAUGUACUUUAUGAAUAAGCAUCGGCUAACUCCGUGCCAGCAGCCGCGGUAAUACGGAGGAUCCGAGCGUUAUCCGGAUUUAUUGGGUUUAAAGGGAGCGUAGAUGGGUUGUUAAGUCAGUUGUGAAAGUUUGCGGCUCAACCGUAAGAUUGCAAUUGAUACUGGCAGUCUUGAGUACAGGUGAGGUAGGCGGAAUGCGUGGUGUAGCGGUGAAAUGCUUAGAUAUCACGAAGAACUCCGAUUGCGAAGGCAGCUUACUAACCUGCCACUGACAUUGAUGCUCGAAAGUGUGGGUAUCAAACAGGAUUAGAUACCCUUGUAGUC